rnacentral:rRNA from 1 species
CCCUUGGCGGCGUGCUUACCACAUGCAAGUCGAACGGUGAAGCACAGCUUGCUCUGGUGGAUCAGUGGCGAACGGGUGAGUAACACGUGAGCAACCUGCCCCUGACUCUGGGAUAAGCGCUGGAAACGGCGUCUAAUACUGGAUAUGUGACGUGACCGCAUGGUCUGCGUCUGGAAAGAAUUUCGGUUGGGGAUGGGCUCGCGGCCUAUCAGCUUGUUGGUGAGGUAAUGGCUCACCAAGGCGUCGACGGGUAGCCGGCCUGAGAGGGUGACCGGCCACACUGGGACUGAGACACGGCCCAGACUCCUACGGGAGGCAGCAGUGGGGAAUAUUGCACAAUGGGCGCAAGCCUGAUGCAGCAACGCCGCGUGAGGGAAGACGGCCUUCGGGUUGUAAACCUCUUUUAGCAGGGAAGAAGCGAAAGUGACGGUACCUGCAGAAAAAGCGCCGGCUAACUACGUGCCAGCAGCCGCGGUAAUACGUAGGGCGCAAGCGUUAUCCGGAAUUAUUGGGCGUAAAGAGCUCGUAGGCGGUUUGUCGCGUCUGCUGUGAAAUCCGGAGGCUCAACCUCCGGCCUGCAGUGGGUACGGGCAGACUAGAGUGCGGUAGGGGAGAUUGGAAUUCCUGGUGUAGCGGUGGAAUGCGCAGAUAUCAGGAGGAACACCGAUGGCGAAGGCAGAUCUCUGGGCCGUAACUGACGCUGAGGAGCGAAAGGGUGGGGAGCAAACAGGCUUAGAUACCCUGGUAGUCCACCCCGUAAACGUUGGGAACUAGUUGUGGGGUCCAUUCCACGGAUUCCGUGACGCAGCUAACGCAUUAAGUUCCCCGCCUGGGGAGUACGGCCGCAAGGCUAAAACU